rnacentral:misc_RNA from 1 species
GAUGUGCUUUGCGAAUUACGAACGGCAUUCAUCUCUGCCUGCAUCAUAAAAAUUGUUCAGUGAGAGUUUGCGAUCCCGCGGGUACGGUCGAAAUAUACGGGAUUUUUUCGCAUAUGGUUUAUUGUUGUUUCCCUUAAUAUUACAACUACUAUUCUAUUGUAACUUAGUACAACGAUACAAAAUACAUAUAAACUAAACAUACAAAUAAAUACCGUCUGUGUAAUAAAAUCUAAAAAUAAAUUUAUUAAAUAAAACAUAAAAUUUUAAAUAAUAUAUUGCACAAAUAAAAUUGUUUAAAAAAUAAGUUGUGGAUAAAUUUCCGAUGGAAUCUUUUAGAGAAUCCUUUGCUUUGUGAAUGAAAUUCGUUGCCGGUGUCUUUGUAUUAUUGGUCGACAAACCAUUUCCUUGAAUACAAAGUUUACAAUCAUUUGCGGUUUAUAGUAAGUACAGGUGGCAAUAUAUACUUCUAUUAUAUUGGAACUCGCACAACAUAAAUAGCAAUCAAUACCCAUGGCCAUGUAAAUUUAAACAUAAUACAGCUCAAGUCAAGUAAUAAUAAAAAAAUAAAAACAAAAAUGUAAACCAACAAAAAAUGAAAAAGAACAGAAGCAGAAACAACUAUAACAACAUUAACUACAAGUAUACUCAUAACACUAUUAAAUAAAAUUGUUGUGAAUAAAAGCAAACACAUGUACAUAAAAAAAAACAAAAACAUCAUUAACAACAAUUACAACUGAACAUAAUUAACAUUCUGAAUAUACAUGUCUUGCAUAUUCAUUGGAGCAACUGCUGGUGCACUUACUUGCUCCUGACUCUUUCUGUCUCGUGUUAUCAGCGUCAUCGUAAACCAGCUCCACAACUAAUCCUGUUCCUGUUUCUUAUAUGUGUAUUACUUCCUUUUAUUUGUAUCCUUAUUUCAAUUUUAUGCGCCACACAAACACUCAUUUGAAUAGAAUUCCGUUCCACUAACGAAACACGAACUUUACCAUUCUAAACCAAACAAAAUAAUACAACACAUCUUAACUAUAUCCAACUCAACUCUACUCAGUUCUGCUCAUCUCGAUACGGUUUGACUUUUUUACAAUCACUGGUAUUACGUAUUUACACUGUCUGAACUAUGGAUUUAUCAUCAUACGUACAACUGUCCUGUUCAUCUGUAUUAUGUUGGCUUUUUAUACUCAUUAUAUGUUGUGCAGCUCACACAACAUCAACACGUGCUCGUGUAACACCCACAGCCAUGACACGUAACAUCGAGGAAGAAAAUGUAAAAUACUUGUUGGAAGGUCCUCCAGUGUUGGUCGAAUCAAUAUUUGGAACAUUGGCCAGACUUCCAUGUAAUGUGACGCCACCUUUGCAGGAGGAUCGUGUAGCACUAGUGAUUUGGUAUAAAGUUGGAUUAAAAACACCCAUUUAUAGUGUUGACACGAGAGAAUCCAAUUUUUCCCAAGGUACUCAUUGGUCUGAUGAAGACUAUCGAGAACGUUUAUCCUUUGCAUUGGAUGGACGUACUGGGACAUUAACAAUGAAAAAUACUCAACAAGAGGAUACAGGAGAAUAUAGAUGCCGUGUUGAUUUUCAAAAGAGUCCUACACGAAAUUCAAAAGUUAAUUUGACUGUUAUAAUUCCUCCCGAAUCAAUUAUUAUAUUGGAUCAUAAAGGAACAACAAUUAAAGAUCAUACUUUGGGCCCCUACAAUGAAGGUGCUAUGAUAAAUAUAACGUGUGUUGCCAUUGGAGGCCAACCGCAGCCUAGAGUUACCUGGUUGCACGAAAAUGCAAUACUUGACUCAUCAUCACAUGCGUUGUCAGACCGCCGUGUUGGUAAUGUUUUAUCACUGUCCAAAUUGCUAAGAAAAAAUUUGCAUAUGCAACUAACAUGUCGAGCUGCGAAUAAUAAUAUAACAAUGCCAAUUACAAAUACCGUAGUACUGGAUAUGAACCUACGUCCAUUACUUGUUAAAUUGCAAGGAGAAAAUCGUCCUUUAUCUGCGGAUAAUUCAUAUCAAUUAAGCUGUGUAGUCAUUGGCUCGAGACCAGCACCCACAAUAACAUGGUGGAAGGGUAGUACACCAAUGAAAAAUACUCAUGAAAUUGCUAAUCCCGAUGGUAAUAUGACCACAUCAAUUUUAACCUUUACACCCACAAUUGAUGACCGUGGCAAGUAUUUAUCAUGUCGCGCUGAACAGAGUAUGAUUCCAGAGUCGGGUAUGGAGGAUGGAUGGAAAUUGGAUAUUUAUCAUAUUCCUGUCGUUACGUUAGAGCUCGGCACAAAUUCUAUGAAUUCAACAUUUCGCGAAGGCAUUGAUGUGUUUUUCGAGUGUAACAUCAAAUCAAAUCCAUGGAUCAACAAUGUCAGUUGGCGCCAUAACGGUAAUAUAUUGGAAAAUAAUAUUGCUGAAGGCAUUAUAGUGGCUAACCAAAGUCUUGUUCUACAAAAUGUAAGCAGAGCUCGCAGUGGCAUUUAUACAUGCGUGGGAAGUAAUCGAGAAGGAGAUGGCGAAAGUAAUCCAGUCCAUUUGGAUAUACGAUUUGCUCCCGUAUGUCGACAAGGGCAACGAGUUGUGUAUAGUACGGGACGUCAUGAAACAGUAAAAAUUGCAUGUGAAAUUGAAGCAAAUCCAGCGGAAACAACAUACGUGUGGAAAUUCAAUGCCACACUUGGUGAAACAAUAGACAUACCGGCUUCACUUAUAGCAAUUGAUCGUGGACGCAGUAUUGCACAUUACACACCAGUGACAGAAAAUGACUAUGGAACUCUAUUAUGUUGGGCUAGUAAUGAAAUUGGUGAUCAAACGGAGCCGUGCGUUUAUACAAUAACACCAGCAGGUGAACCAGACUCUUUGGUAAAUUGUACAUUGCUCAAUCAAACUUCAACUGGCUUUCAAAUUGAGUGUAUAGAAGGAUUUGAUGGUGGCUUACAGCAAGACUUUAUUAUGGAAGUUUAUGUGAAUGGCACCACUAGACAUCCAAAAAUCUACAAAUCAAAAACACCUUACUUUGAGGUGCGUGGUUUAGUGCCAGGUGCUGGUUAUAAUGUAUUUCUGGUGGCACACAAUAGUAAAGGUCGCAGCAAUGCUACCAUAUUGCAAGUAUAUACACUUAAGGAUCCAGAGAAACAGACAGUUUUAUUUACUUACAAAAAAUCUUAUGAGACCGUUAAUCAAGCACCUUUUAAUUUAACACAACCUAAACCAAAAAAGAAAAAUCUGUCGUUAGCCUAUGCUCCUGCCAUUGAGGAUAUACGGCCGUUUUUAGGUAUUUUAGUUGGUGUUGUGGUCAGCAUAAUUUUGGUGGCUCUAAUCAUUGUAAUCAUUGUGCGAAUGAGGGGUUCUUCAGGAAGAGACCGUAAUAAUUAUAUGCAUGCAACAGCAACAACUCAGGGACGAAACAACAAUGGCCUUGGGCCGCUUCACAAUAGCCACGACAUGCACAAUGGGAGAGGAAAUUGUCAUGUAACAAGCAGUUUGGAUAGUAUUGACAAAAAUCCCGAUAUAAUACCGCAAGAUGGACACGAUGAUGAUGAUGAGUGGACGACAAGUGCACAUAAUCAUGCUUAUGCUACAGCUGCCAUGGCCGAACAGAAUGCUGUGAUAACGACAUCAACAACUUAUGAUCACAUAAUACCCACAUAUGCUGUCGUCGAUAAAAAGUCACAACAGCAGCAUUUACAACAACUACAACAACAUCAACAGCAAACACAGCAAAUGUCUGCUGUACCGCCGACACAUCAUGGUCAAUAUGUACAAUACAAUACUCUCAUACCAGUUAGCAAAAUGAGUGCUUUCCAAGCACAACAACAACAAGCAAAUAAGAGUGAGCUAACGCACGCCGACAUGACUGGAGCAACAAAUCAACGUAUACCACAAUAUUGCAGUGCAACGUUAGGUCGUCCCAGACAGGCGGAUUUAAAACGAGCCGAACCCAAUAUAUAUUCCCAGAUUGAUCUUGCUCAUCAUCCCAUGUACUCUACGAGUCCUAUGUUUGCCACUAGUACCAUAACUGGUGUCACAAUGUCACAUCCAUCACAAUUGGCCACCUUUACAACACCACCACUUCCAUCCAUGUAUGCGCAUAAACUAGUUUCAGCUUCACAAUCCCAAAAUAUUCCAACCAGCAUGGUAUCCGUGUCGGCAGCAAAUGUCCAUUCCACCAACAUUGGCAGUGGCUGUGGUAGCGUAGGAGGUGGAAGUCUGUUGCAAACUAGUAUGUUACCCGGCCAUAUACCAGUCUCACAUCAUAGUGCCCAACAACAAUCCAUCAUUUGUGCGUCCCAAAAGAGACCACAAUCGCCUUCGGCAGCUUCAACACAUUCAACGGCAUCAGUAACGGCCACGCUGCCAUCGUCGUCUUUGGCAUCAUGUUGUUCAGCGGGUGGAGUAGGUGGCGGCAUCUUAAAUUUACAGGGAAAUGGAAGUAUAAUGGCUGUCAACAAUAUGGGUGGCUCAGGUGUUUAUCUUAACGAAGCGCCCACAAACUCUGGUAUUUUAAAAUCUGUUCCCGAAGAAAUAAUUCAUCAUCAAAUUAAUGGCGAGAAUAUUAUAGUGACACAAGAUCGAAACAAUGGCACAAGAUUCUGACGCUAAACAUUAUACAAUUUUAAAGAAAAAUGAACUAAUAAUUCAAAUCUCAACAAUAAAAAAGUAGACAAUGAACCUCAUAUAAGUAAAAAAAAUCAUAAAAUUAACAUUUUAAAUCAAUUCAAAGUGAACCUCAUGUUGAUAUAAAAUAAAUGAAAAAAGAAACAAAAAUAUAUAAAAUAAUUUACAAGAAAGUAAGAGAUGAAAAGGAAACAAGAGACCUUCUUUAAGAACAACAUAUAGCAGAGUAAUUAAGACGUUAAAGAAAAAGAAAAACUCAAUUAACUGCCUUUUAAAAGAAUCGCAUUUAAAUCCUAUUUAUCACUAAAUCCUUUCAAGCCGACAAUUUAUAUAACAAAAUAUUCUUGAAUCCUCUAGGAAAUGAAAAACAACAAUGGCAAGGAUUCAUAAAAUAAAAUCGCUAUCAGUGAAAUUAUAAAAAAAAGAACUAAAACCGAUUAAAAACACAAGCAAACAAGUUAACGAAGAAAACGUUUUGUAAAUUUAUUUUAAAUUAUUAACAAUUAAAUCAUUCAUAAAAAUUUAAUUGAACACAAAAACUAAACCGGAAACAAACAAAUUAUUCUAAACUCAAAAAAUAUAUAUUAAUAAAUUAAUAUUUAAAAAGUUGUUAAUUAGUUUAAGCAAAUUAAAAAAGUGAGAAAUUAUCUAUUAUGUAUUUGUUUCGUUUCCAUUGGUAUAAAACCAUAUUAUUUAUUUAUUUAUUUAAUUUAUUAAUUCGCCAGUCAUUACUGUUAGUCAUCUGUGUGUAUAUUCAAGAUAUAAUUAAAUUCAACUUAAGCCCUCGACAUCUUCAUUAGAUCAACUCUAAAUGUAUUGAUCUUAAAAAGUUAAAAUUCCAAAUGCCAACCUAUGUGUACAGACAAAACCUCUAUUGUAAUUAAAUAUUUAAAUGAAUUAACAAAACAUUUUCUAUUUCUAAGUC